rnacentral:tRNA from 1 species
AAGGGAGACCUAAUUCAGGUAUAAGACGAAAAAAAAGUAGUCCCUACCAAGAAUCAAUCCCAAAAGGUCGGAACGAGGUAUGAGGCUUUCAAACUAGGUUCUGGGUUCAUAAAAGACCUGAAUCAGGAACAAGGGCUAUUAGCUCAGGUGGUUAGAGCGCACCCCUGAUAAGGGUGAGGUCCCUGGUUCGAGUCCAGGAUGGCCCACCUGCACAGGUGGCAAAAACAAGAGAAGCGAGGAAUCAGCACCUUAUCUUAUAUACAUAUAUAAGAGAGAAUGCUGGCUCUGAGUAAAGAGUCCAGAGGAACCUUGAAAACUGCAUAGAGCUAGGUGAAAAAGCCAAAAAAGAAGACCGCAA